rnacentral:rRNA from 1 species
UACGUAGGGGGCAAGCGUUGUCCGGAAUCAUUGGGCGUAAAGCGCGCGUAGGCGGCUAGAUCAGUCUGCUGUAAAAGUCAAAGGCUCAACCUUUGAAAGCCGGUGGAUACUGUCUAGCUAGAGUCCGGAAGAGGCGAGUGGAAUUCCUGGUGUAGCGGUGAAAUGCGUAGAUAUCUGGAGGAACACCGGUGGCGAAGGCGGCAUCCUGGACCGGCAUUGACGCUGAGGCGCGAAAGCUGGGGGAGCGAACGGG